UGAGCAUCCAACCCACCUAUUACAUAUUACUGAAGUCUCUUGAGGUGGCCGGCUGUGACUCGCAUCUUUGUGAAUUGACCCACUGUGUAGAAGAGUGAGUUGGCUGAGGACAAAAGUUCAGAGAGUAAGUUUCUGGUGAGAGGCCAUAACAACAGAAGCCAGAUUCAAAAUCUGAAUGCAGGGAUUUCAUAGGAAAAGAUGCAGUCACCCUCAAGGAAGUUUCAGUCUGCAAGUGAUUACUAGCUUAUUACAAAGUCUUUUCAGAUUCCCACAACUUGCAAUCACCUGGGAAAUACAAUGGUAUUUAAUAACUGGUAAAGUCUGGACAUACCUUCCCAGUAUGUUUAUUUUUCUGUAUAUCUUUUAUUCUCUCACCCAGAGCAGAUGUUAAGAUAUGGUGGCCAAGACACGCUGCCAGAAGAUAUCAGGUCAAAUCACUUAACUUUGUUUUGCUUCAAUCCCACAACUAAUUAAAUCACUUGUUUUUACAUUGAACCCUAAUAAAACACCGCUAGAUA